CCUCACUACCUCUAGGCUUGCUGAAAGGAUUCAAUCACACCAGGCAUUCAGCAAAUAUUUAUUGAGAACCUAUCAUGUGCCAGCCACCAGGACGCACAGUCCGCCUGGGGAGACAUCAAUGAACAAGCAAACAAAUGAGUACGGAAGAAUAAAUUGUGACAAGUGCUGUGAAGGGAAAGGAGCGAUGCCAUGAGCAAGAACAAGGACGACAGGCGAAGAGAAAAUGGAUCACAUGAGACAGCCAGGACCCACUUUCUCUCCCAGGCCAUCCUCUCUCUCUCUAGCACACACACAUGCACACAAGGGCCAGCCCCAGGGAGAAACAAGGACUACAGCCAGCCCUGAAGAUGCCAAAAGAUACGUUGUUUCCAGAUCUGUGCAACAUCUCUCUCGCUGCUUCCUCACCAUAACGCGAAGCUAACGCACACGCACAAACGACACGGUUGUAAAACGCUCGUGAGACAGGCUUACAUGUAAGAUGCGCGCACACAAACAUGCAUUCACGUGUGUCUGUCUCUGCUGAUGAAAUCAGCCAGGUGUUGUCAUGGAGGUGGAGAUUUUCGUCCCAUUUAGUGGAAAGGAAUUCGAGGCCCAGUUACUAACCCAAGGAAGGCUGUGGCCUCGCAGGGGGCACCUGAGAUGCCAGCAGUGGUUCUGUCCUCUGAAGGCACUUUGUUUCUCACCAAGUGACACUUUUUGCCUCUCAGUCUUAGCCCCCCAGCUGAGUGCAGGGACCGUGUCGUGUCCCUCGGUUUCCCCAGGACGGAGCCCCAAGUCUCUCAUACAGUAGGUGCUUGAUCAACGUUGUCCCGUGAACGUCCUCCCAACGCCUAGGAACGGCUUCCUUCCAGCAUGCUCUUGCCCGCCUCCUCCUUAAUUCCAUGCCCCUGCCCAGAAGCCCUGCCCUGUGGCAGCCUCACCUGGAGGCGGAACUCCCAACUCAGACGUCACCCUGAUUCCUCCACGUGGCAAACUUUCCAAACAGAAGAGGAGGGAAGAAACAUGGAUGGCCAACUUAUAACUCAGAGUAAGUACAGUUUUUAAGGCAUUUGCCUUCCAAAACACUGUUAUUUUAUAAAAUAAAGGACUUCCUAACCCCAAAAGGUAGAAAAGAUAUAAGCACAGAAGAGAGGACAGCUCUUUACAGGGACAGUAUCUGGCACAUGAAGACUCCAUCCGUAGUCUCUUCCUUUCACCUUGGGUUCUGCGCCAGCACCAGACGAUGGACCAGUGUCUGGGAGGACAGUGCUCCUGGCUUAUGGGGGAGUGGGGGGGGUAAGCCAGGAAGGCAAGAGGGAAGUGGAGAAGGGGCUCACGGUCAGAGCAGGAGAUGCCAGGUAACGAGGCAGAGGCCAGGACUCGGGAAGAUGCUGGGGGUCCUGACCAGGAAGCCCACCGAGGAGACAGCUGAACUCGAGAGCCAGGAGGCAGCCACGCUUAGGAUAGGGUUUCACCUGGAAACUAGCAGUCUUAGAGAUUCCCUCUGGACACUGAGAUCCUUUCAGCU
rnacentral:lncRNA from 1 species